GGCUGGUCCGAUGGUACUGGGUUAUCAGAACAUUAGUGUCACUAAAGUUGGUAUUCAACCCCCCACUGCUAAAUUUGACUGGCUUUAA
rnacentral:Y_RNA from 1 species